rnacentral:tmRNA from 1 species
UGCGGCCCGCUUUAUAGUGGCGGUUGCCGGGCAACCGGCUAUGACGCUAAACGCCACACGGAAUAGACGUUACGGACCCGGGGGCGGUACCCGGCGCCUCCACCAAAUUUCCCGGCCCACGACGCGGGCCGGAACCUUGGGGGCGAAAUAGGAUCGACGUGCGCAGUAAAGGUCUGGUUUGCGUUCGGCAUGAUACCACCGUUAUCGGGUCAAUCCUAACAAGUGCCAACGACAACGUUGAACUUGCCGCUGCGGCUUAGUCCGUAAGCGCGGUCCGGGGGGAACCGGGCAACAGAACUCCCCCCACUUCUCCGGGUUCCAGUGACGCCCGUCA